GGUUAAGCGACUAAGCGUACACGGUGGAUGCCCUGGCAGUCAGAGGCGAUGAAGGACGUGCUAAUCUGCGAUAAGCGUCGGUGAGGUGAUAUGAACCGUUAUAACCGGCGAUUUCCGAAUGGGGAAACCCAGUGUGUUUCGACACACUAUCAUUAACUGAAUCCAUAGGUUAAUGAGGCGAACCGGGGGAACUGAAACAUCUAAGUACCCCGAGGAAAAGAAAUCAACCGAGAUUCCCCCAGUAGCGGCGAGCGAACGGGGAGCAGCCCAGAGCCUGAAUCAGUGUGUGUGUUAGUGGAAGCGUCUGGAAAGGCGCGCGAUACAGGGUGACAGCCCCGUACACAAAAAUGCACAUACUGUGAGCUCGAUGAGUAGGGCGGGACACGUGGUAUCCUGUCUGAAUAUGGGGGGACCAUCCUCCAAGGCUAAAUACUCCUGACUGACCGAUAGUGAACCAGUACCGUGAGGGAAAGGCGAAAAGAACCCCGGCGAGGGGAGUGAAAAAGAACCUGAAACCGUGUACGUACAAGCAGUGGGAGCCUCUUAAUGGGGUGACUGCGUACCUUUUGUAUAAUGGGUCAGCGACUUAUAUUCUGUAGCAAGGUUAACCGAAUAGGGGAGCCGAAGGGAAACCGAGUCUUAACUGGGCGUUAAGUUGCAGGGUAUAGACCCGAAACCCGGUGAUCUAGCCAUGGGCAGGUUGAAGGUUGGGUAACACUAACUGGAGGACCGAACCGACUAAUGUUGAAAAAUUAGCGGAUGACUUGUGGCUGGGGGUGAAAGGCCAAUCAAACCGGGAGAUAGCUGGUUCUCCCCGAAAGCUAUUUAGGUAGCGCCUCGUGAAUUCAUCUCCGGGGGUAGAGCACUGUUUCGGCAAGGGGGUCAUCCCGACUUACCAACCCGAUGCAAACUGCGAAUACCGGAGAAUGUUAUCACGGGAGACACACGGCGGGUGCUAACGUCCGUCGUGAAGAGGGAAACAACCCAGACCGCCAGCUAAGGUCCCAAAGUCAUGGUUAAGUGGGAAACGAUGUGGGAAGGCCCAGACAGCCAGGAUGUUGGCUUAGAAGCAGCCAUCAUUUAAAGAAAGCGUAAUAGCUCACUGGUCGAGUCGGCCUGCGCGGAAGAUGUAACGGGGCUAAACCAUGCACCGAAGCUGCGGCAGCGACACUAUGUGUUGUUGGGUAGGGGAGCGUUCUGUAAGCCUGUGAAGGUGUACUGUGAGGUAUGCUGGAGGUAUCAGAAGUGCGAAUGCUGACAUAAGUAACGAUAAAGCGGGUGAAAAGCCCGCUCGCCGGAAGACCAAGGGUUCCUGUCCAACGUUAAUCGGGGCAGGGUGAGUCGACCCCUAAGGCGAGGCCGAAAGGCGUAGUCGAUGGGAAACAGGUUAAUAUUCCUGUACUUGGUGUUACUGCGAAGGGGGGACGGAGAAGGCUAUGUUGGCCGGGCGACGGUUGUCCCGGUUUAAGCGUGUAGGCUGGUUUUCCAGGCAAAUCCGGAAAACUAAGGCUGAGGCGUGAUGACGAGGCACUACGGUGCUGAAGCAACAAAUGCCCUGCUUCCAGGAAAAGCCUCUAAGCAUCAGGUAACAUCAAAUCGUACCCCAAACCGACACAGGUGGUCAGGUAGAGAAUACCAAGGCGCUUGAGAGAACUCGGGUGAAGGAACUAGGCAAAAUGGUGCCGUAACUUCGGGAGAAGGCACGCUGAUAUGUAGGUGAAGUCCCUCGCGGAUGGAGCUGAAAUCAGUCGAAGAUACCAGCUGGCUGCAACUGUUUAUUAAAAACACAGCACUGUGCAAACACGAAAGUGGACGUAUACGGUGUGACGCCUGCCCGGUGCCGGAAGGUUAAUUGAUGGGGUUAGCGGUAACGCGAAGCUCUUGAUCGAAGCCCCGGUAAACGGCGGCCGUAACUAUAACGGUCCUAAGGUAGCGAAAUUCCUUGUCGGGUAAGUUCCGACCUGCACGAAUGGCGUAAUGAUGGCCAGGCUGUCUCCACCCGAGACUCAGUGAAAUUGAACUCGCUGUGAAGAUGCAGUGUACCCGCGGCAAGACGGAAAGACCCCGUGAACCUUUACUAUAGCUUGACACUGAACAUUGAGCCUUGAUGUGUAGGAUAGGUGGGAGGCUUUGAAGUGUGGACGCCAGUCUGCAUGGAGCCGGCCUUGAAAUACCACCCUUUAAUGUUUGAUGUUCUAACGUUGGCCCCUGAUCGGGGUUGCGGACAGUGUCUGGUGGGUAGUUUGACUGGGGCGGUCUCCUCCUAAAGAGUAACGGAGGAGCACGAAGGUUGGCUAAUCCUGGUCGGACAUCAGGAGGUUAGUGCAAUGGCAUAAGCCAGCUUGACUGCGAGCGUGACGGCGCGAGCAGGUGCGAAAGCAGGUCAUAGUGAUCCGGUGGUUCUGAAUGGAAGGGCCAUCGCUCAACGGAUAAAAGGUACUCCGGGGAUAACAGGCUGAUACCGCCCAAGAGUUCAUAUCGACGGCGGUGUUUGGCACCUCGAUGUCGGCUCAUCACAUCCUGGGGCUGAAGUAGGUCCCAAGGGUAUGGCUGUUCGCCAUUUAAAGUGGUACGCGAGCUGGGUUUAGAACGUCGUGAGACAGUUCGGUCCCUAUCUGCCGUGGGCGCUGGAGAACUGAGGGGGGCUGCUCCUAGUACGAGAGGACCGGAGUGGACGCAUCACUGGUGUUCGGGUUGUCAUGCCAAUGGCACUGCCCGGUAGCUAAAUGCGGAAGAGAUAAGUGCUGAAAGCAUCUAAGCACGAAACUUGCCCCGAGAUGAGUUCUCCCUGACUCCUUGAGAGUCCUGAAGGAACGUUGAAGACGACGACGUUGAUAGGCCGGGUGUGUAAGCGCAGCGAUGCGUUGAGCUAACCGGUACUAAUGAACCGUGAGGCUUAACCUU
rnacentral:rRNA from 1 species